rnacentral:rRNA from 1 species
GUAGGGGGGGUAGGAUCCACAAGGAGAAGUUGUGAUAAAGCGUAGAGUAUCGAGGUGAAUCCCGGUGGUUGAAUGGUCGGCCCCCCGGGACAGAUAUUGACAUUUGGAUGUGAAAGCGUGGGGGAGCACACAGGUUUUGAUACCCUGGUAGUUCCACGCGGUAAAUGAUGUAUACUUGGAGGUUGUGGCCUUUAGCCGUGGGUUUUGGGAGCUAACGCGUUAUAUAGACCGCCUGGGGAGUACGGUCGCAAGAUUAAAACUCAAAUGAAUGACGGGGGCCCGCACAAGCGGGGGAGCAUGUGGUUUAAUUCGAUGCAACGCGAAGAACCUACCUACUCUUGACAUCCAGAGAACUUAGCAGAGAUGCUUUGGUGCCUUCGGGAACUUUUGAGACAGGUGCUGCAUGGCUGUCGUCAGCUCGUGUUGUGAAAUGUUGGGUUAAGUCCCGCAACGAGCGCAACCCUUAUCCUUGUUUGCCAGCGAGUAAUGUCGGGAACUCCAGGGAGACUGCCGGUGAUAAACCGGAGGAAGGUGGGGACGACGUCAAGUCAUCAUGGCCCUUACGAGUAGGGCUACACACGUGCUACAAUGGCGCAUACAGAGGGCGGCCAACUUGCGAAAGUGAGCGAAUCCCAAAAAGUGCGUCGUAGUCCGGAUUGGAGUCUGCAACUCGACUCCAUGAAGUCGGAAUCGCUAGUAAUCGUGAAUCAGAAUGUCACGGUGAAUACGUUCCCGGGCCUUGUACACACCGCCCGUCACACCAUGGGAGUAGAGUGCAAAAGAAGCUCAGUAGUAAGUCGUAACAAGUAAUCCAUGCUAGAUGUGUUUGC